UUUCUUCCCAAGGUCGCCUCCUUCAAAGCGCAGGCACAGAGCCCUCGAGAAGGGCAGUCUCUGGACGAGGGAGCCAGGAGCACAGGAUGCACGUCUUUGGCAGGCACGUUCGGCCCCCGGCAGGAUGCAAUCCUUCAAGCUGGAAUCCGUCGGGUGUCCUGAGACACCGAGGUGGGGGGUGGACAGGAAGCCUUCGGCCGGACUCACAUCUCAGUCCAGGCCCGCUCGCUCGCUGUCCAAGCCCGUCCCAGUUGCAGGACCCUGGGGGGGGUGGGGGGGAGGCAGCGAAUCAGGCCCACCCACCGUCACAGGGGCAGAUUCUUCAAGCUGUUCACACCUGCUUCCGCCGGCCCCACAGUUCGAGAGCAUCAGCCUUACGGCAAGAGACAGAUUACUUCCUCUCUGACCCUCCCUGGCACCUCUUCAGCCGGGCCUGUGUCGGAACCGCCGGAAAACACGGAGACCCGUGCUGUGCACGACAGCCCUUUCUUCUGCCCCGGGCUGCGUAGGCACUUGGCAAUCUGGGGGAAGGAGGUGGCUCAGAAAGUGGGUGGAAAUGGGAAGAAUGAGAAAGCUUCGUCUGCUAGAGUAAUUAGAGAUCUGAAGCGAUUCCACUUUAUUUCCUUCACUUUAAGCCAAUCAUGAAAUUUCACAGUGAUUUCUGGGGCAGGGGCAGAAGGACGGCGGUGUUCAGAAUCCUCGGGGCUGUGGCCCAGGCGGCCCGAGGAGGCGCGGGCCGGGCAGGCCUCACUGGGGCAGCUGCAGGAGCACGGACUGCCCGGCCGGCAGGUAGGUGAUGUUCCGGGAGCGCGAGAGCUGGUAGGCGAUGUCCUCCGCGGCCUCCAGCUUGCGCAGCUCGAUGAGGCCGUCGCCCGCGGUGGCGAGCGAGUUGGCGAUCAGCUCGGCUGCCUUGGAGUCGCCCUCGGCAGAGAUGAUGGCCGCCUUCUUCUGCU
rnacentral:lncRNA from 1 species